UAAUCUCCAAACAUUCUAUUUAUUUGUAAACAAUUGAAAAUUGUUAAUUUUUUAUCAUGUAUUUUUUUGCUUUCAGGCUGGCAAGUCUCAAUUAUUUCGGGUAGAAGAUCUUUAUGCCAACCAAAUUGGUCGGCAAUCUUGGAGCAAAAUUUACAAUGUCAUCCCUCAAUUAUCUUGCAAUGACGGUUUACUACCUCCCUUUGAUUUUGAUCAUCCUCUCAAUUUUCCCGCCAUCCUCAACCGCCAUAACAGAAACGGAAGAUCUGUUUCAGUUCAAGUCCCAGAUCAAAAAUUUACAAUGUCAUCCCUCAAUUAUCUUGCAAUGACGGUUUACUACCUCCCUUUGAUUUUGAUCAUCCUCUCAAUUUUCCCGCCAUCCUCAACCGCCAUAACAGAAACGGAAGCUCUGUUUCAGUUCAAGUCCCAGCUCAAAGACCCGAUGAGAGUCUUCGAGUCGUGGAAAGCUUCUGAGUCUCCAUGCAAUU
rnacentral:lncRNA from 1 species